CCCUUAGAUGUUCUGGGCCGCACGCGCGCUACACUGAUGCAUUCAACGAGUCUAAAACCUGCUCUGAUAGGGGUGGGUAAUCUUUUGAAUGUGCAUCGUGAUUGGGAUAGAUGAUUGCAACUUUUCAUCUUCAACGAGGAAUGCCUAGUAAACGCAAGUCAUCAGCUUGCAUUGAUUACGUCCCUGCCCUUUGUACACACCGCCCGUCGCUCCUACCGAUUGAAUGAUCCGAUGAAUAUCAUGGAUUGAGGAUGCAAGCAGGUUCGCCUGUCUUCAUCUUCGAGAAGUGAAGUAAAUCUUAUCAUUUAGAGGAAGGAGAAGUCGUAACA
rnacentral:rRNA from 1 species